ensembl:lncRNA
CGGGGAGAGUGUCUAGGGAUGUCACGCACCUCUGCUACCAGGGAGGAACCUGCCGUGGCAGCAAGCUCAACAUUUAAGAACAGCAAGAGGGGACGUUAUCAGACAGCAGGAUGGGAGUCCAUUACACAUAAUCAGCCAAGACCGUUGAAGAGUGUUUUCCUGACGAGAAGAGUGCAGAGAGCAGGGCUUGACUGCAGGGUUCUGGCUCCAGUGCCAACACACCAGCAAGAGAUGCCUUGCCACAGAGGGAAGAACUAGGCAGUUACACCAGCAAAUGGAUACACAAAUUGGAGGAAACAGGCACAGUGGGAAUAAUUCCCCGACACAGCUCAUGACCAGAAGCUGAGAAAGAGAAAAGGAUCUCUGAAGAUUAACCUGGACCGGAAGACUCCACAUCUUGGCAUUACUUAGGAAUAAAACAUUACUUUGUUUGACUGCUUGAGCCAGACCAGAGGUGAUGCAUUUCCAUUUAAGCGUUAACACUGUAUUGCCCUUUCAAGAGCUCUUCAAUAUCAAAUUAAGUAUUUUGUUCUGGAAAUAAAUGUACUUAGAUUUUAUUUAGGCAACACCUAUUCCUUCUUUAUUUGGGUUGUUGGUAUAGAUUGUGAUUUGUGAAACAGGUUUGUGUCAUUUUUGUUAUUGUAAACAAAUGCAAUAUUAGUCAACAUAAUACAAUUGUUGGCUUUAAAUUUGAUUGUGUAGUGUCAAUGCAUCAAGUACAGUAUGCCUAUGACUUAAAUGUUGUAAUUUGAUUGAAAGAGGUAUGAAGUUAAAUAUUUUCUCCUUUUAAAGACCAGUGUGCAUCCACAUGGCGUAUAUGAUACUGCUCUGCAUGUGAACAUUUAAUUGAUUCGUUUUAGACCUGUUUAUACGUUUAAUUAAAUAUGCACUAAGCAGAAAUCGCUCCGCCAUUUCCUAGUUGCUAAAAUUUUAACAGUUUGCCUAAUUUUAGAUUAUGUGACAAAACGAGCAAGAAUAGUGUAGAGAAUCAUUAUACCAUCUAAACCGUUGUGAAAUAUUUUUUCAAUAAUCAAAAAUAUUGUAUUUUCAGCUAUUUGAACCUGGUAUGCAAAAGAAGCAAAAACAAAACAAAAACGGGAUGCAUAGAAAUAGCGCACAUAGAACAGUUCUACCG